rnacentral:rRNA from 1 species
GAUCCUGGCUCAGAUUGAACGCUGGCGGAAUGCUUUACACAUGCAAGUCGAGCGGCAGCGCGGGGCAACCUGGCGGCGAGCGGCGAACGGGUGAGUAACACAUCAGAACGUGCCCAGACGUGGGGGAUAGCCCGGCGAAAGCCGGAUUAAUACCGCAUACGAUCUGAGGAUGAAAGCGGGGGAUCGCAAGACCUCGCGCGUUUGGAGCGGCCGAUGGCAGAUUAGGUAGUUGGUGGGGUAAAGGCUUACCAAGCCUGCGAUCUGUAGCUGGUCUGAGAGGAUGAUCAGCCACACUGGGACUGGGACACGGCCCAGACUCCUACGGGAGGCAGCAGUGGGGAAUUUUGGACAAUGGGCGCAAGCCUGAUCCAGCCAUUCCGCGUGCAGGACGAAGGCCUUCGGGUUGUAAACUGCUUUUGUACGGAACGAAAAGCCCUUCUCUAAUACAGAGGGGUCAUGACGGUACCGUAAGAAUAAGCACCGGCUAACUACGUG